UUGAAAAGACCCCUUUUUUGCAACUCAGUGAGCUAUUCCAACCUCUCGUAAAUUUCCAUUGAUGUUGGGUGUUUGAAUGUAACCUUGCCAUCGGGUAUGAAUACCGAAACUCAAGCUAGCACCCAGUUCCUGUUGUGCUCAUCCAAGCCUUCAAACAAAUCCGGUAAAUCAACUAUCCUUCAUUCUUCUUCCUCUCUCCUCCAUUUAGCGAUCUUGGCCGUGUACCCUCCCG
rnacentral:lncRNA from 1 species